rnacentral:rRNA from 1 species
UACGAAGGGUGCAAACGUUGCUCGGAAUCAUUGGGCGUAAAGCGCACGUAGGCGGCUUCGCAAGUCGGAUGUGAAAUCCCAUGGCUCAACCAUGGACGUGCAUUCGAAACUGCGAAGCUUGAGUAUGGAAGAGGGUCGCGGAAUUCCCGGUGUAGCGGUGAAAUGCGCAGAUAUCAGGAGGAACACCGGUGGCGAAGGCGGGUCUCUGGGCCGAUACUGACGCUGAGGAGCGAAAGCGUGGGGAGCGAACAGG